rnacentral:lncRNA from 1 species
UCGAGGCCGCUCCGGCGGCCCUCAUUGGCCUCUUCACUGGUCGCAAUGUUGGGAAACAGUUGAUUGUUGUCUCCCAUGAUUGGUGAAACUAUACCAAACCUUGUAGAAGUUGCUUGAUUGUUGCGUUGGCUUCCUUAAGAACUGAUCGACAGUUUGUGUUUUGGUUGAAUAAAAAGGAUUUAGAAUACUAAAUCCUAUUAUGUAAUAUAAAAUCAUAUAUAUAUAUAUAUAUAUAUAUAUAUAUAUAUAAUGUUGGGAAACAGUUGGUUGUUGUCUCCCAUGAUUGGUGAAACUAUACCAAACCUUGUAGAAGUUGCUUGAUUGUUGUGUUGGCUUCCUUAAGAACUGAUCGACAGUUUGUGUUUAGGUUGAAUAAAAAGGAUUUAGAAUACUAAAUCCUAUUAUGUAAUAUAAAAUCAUAUAUAUAUAUAUAUAUAUAUAUACACUAAUUUUUGGCACGAG